rnacentral:tRNA from 1 species
GGGGACGUAGCUCAACUGGGAGAGCGCCGGCUUUGCAAGCCGGAGGUUGCCG